rnacentral:rRNA from 1 species
AACGAACGCUGGCGGCAGGCCUAACACAUGCAAGUCGAACGCUCCGCAAGGGGGAGUGGCAGACGGGUGAGUAACACGUGGGAAUCUUCCUAUCGGUACGGAAUAGCUCAGGGAAACUUGGGGUAAUACCGCAUACGCCCGAAAGGGGAAAGAUUUAUCGCCGAUAGAUGAGCCCGCGUCUGAUUAGCUAGUUGGUGAGGUAAUGGCUCACCAAGGCGACGAUCAGUAGCUGGCUGAGAGGAUGACCAGCCACACUGGGACUGAGACACGGCCCAGACUCCUACGGGAGGCAGCAGUGGGGAAUAUUGGACAAUGGGCGCAAGCCUGAUCCAGCCAUGCCGCGUGAGUGACGAAGGUCUUCGGAUUGUAAAGCUCUUUUGCCAGGGACGAU